UAUAAUUAUAUUAUGUUAUUAUAUCUUAUUAUUAAAUAAGAAAAAUGCAAUUCAUCGCAUCUUCUAAUGCAGUACUGCUUAAUGUUUGUAAUAGAUAAAAGUAUUGGAAGCGAAUGUUGAACUUCUGAGAACUUUCAAUCUAAUUGAUAAGAUAGUGAAUUAAAUCUUGGAUAAACGAAUGCAACGAACAUCCGCUAAUUCUUUGACAAUAGGAAUACAAAGGUAUAUACGUCAAUGAAAACAAGAAUCACAUUUCGUAAAUACUUUAUGGACAUCUUAUAAAACAUAACUAUCAGAUAGCUUAGGGAAUUUUAGAACGAGUAUAAGGAGCUUGAAGAAAUUAUUUGAAAGAGAUUCUGCAUAAAAAAUAAGACAUAAAUCUAAAUUUUUAUCCAUAAAAUUUAAUCAAACCAUUUGAUUUUAGAUAAAACCGAAUCUCAAUUCUGGUUUAAUAACUUACAUAUCUAUCGAUUAUCAAAAAAUUAUAAUCUCUUCUGUUAAAAACUCUCCAAACGAAAAAGUUUAUGGAUGAUCCAAUCAUGAUAACAUAAGUCAACAAUUAUUCUUAUUAUUUCACGCAAAUCUAUAUUGCCAAAGAGGAAACUUGUCUGACUAAUCAUAGUAGAAACAAUCGUUAAAAGAGAAAUUACCAUAUAAAUAUUCCAAGUGACUCAUAAGCAUUCUUCGAGCGUGUUACGUUUCUUCCACCUCCGCCUAUGAAAUACCAAAGGGAUUUCGCAGGUUAACGAGAUCAUGAUAAUCUACACAGCGGAAUCGAACAUACUGACCUGAAAAUUAUCGAUGGAUCGUGCAUGGAAACGUGAAUACAUGCGAAUACGAAGAAAUUCUCGGCAGGAGGAAAGAGAAAAAGAAGGGAUCCAAGAAAGGCACGGCAGGGUACAGGUGCCGCGCCCUGUUGAACUUCCAGUUCGACUUCUCACAGUCGAUUAUGUAUUCAUGAGUGUUUGAGAAGAAAGAAAAAGGAAAAGAAACAGUAGACAUAAUCUCGUUCGAUGCAAAGGAGAUUCCUUUUUUUUAGGCAAAGAUGUAGAUAAAAGUUACACGACAUCGUUGGAAGUUUGCACUAAGAGAUGCAACACGGAUGAGAAUAGAAUUGUUCUAAUCUAAUGUUCUAAUCUAAAAAAUUAAAAAAAUUAAUAACACAGAAAAUAUACAGAAAGAUAUUUUGAAAAAAAAAAUUCAUUGUAAAAAGAAUUUAUUUAUAUCAUUUAUUGAAUUUAUUAAAUAAUUUAAUAUAUCUUCUAUUCUUUUUUUUUUUUAAUAGAAUUAUUAAAUUUUUUUCAUUCUUUGUUUCAUGAGAUUUACGUAUUAUAAGAAAUCCACAUUAUAACUGGACACGCAUUGUUCAAGUAAUAUUCUCACGACUCGAAUGUAUUCUCAUGAUAGCUAUAUACCGGAUAAAUAUAAUCCGCGUCAAGACAC